ACCUGCGGAGGAUCAUUAUGAAUUAAUAGGAGGUAGUUGUUGCUGGCCUUCUUAAUGAGGGGGCAUGUGCACACUAUGUCUUUCAUUACCUUUCUCACCUGUGCACUAACUGUAGGUUCAGCCGGCUAGUUUUGGCUCGCAUGAACCUAUGUCUUCAUAUACAUCUUUGUGUAGAAAGUCUUUGAAUGUUUAUUAUCAGAGAGUUGCGACUUCUAGGAGUUGUGAAUCUUUGAGACAAAAGUUAUUACAACUUUCAGCAAUGGAUCUCUUGGCUCUCGCAUCGAUGAAGAACGCAGCGAAAAGCGAUAUGUAAUGUGAAUUGCAGAUCUACAGUGAAUCAUCGAAUCUUUGAACGCACCUUGCGCUCCUUGGUAUUCCGAGGAGCAUGCCUGUUUGAGUGUCAGUAAUUUCUCAACCCCUCUCAAUUAGCUUUGAGGGGGAGCUUGGAUAGUGGGUGUUGCCAGAGACUCUUACUUGUGUAAGACUUGGGCUCACCUGAAAUGCAUUGGCUUGCAGUCAACCUUUUGACUUUGCAUGAUAAGGCUUUCGGUGUGAUAAUGAUCACCGUGUGCUGAAGUGCAUGAAUAAAGGUUCUGUGCCUCUAAUAUAUGGGUUGACUUUUACUAUAUAGUAAAGUCUUUUCCCCCCCUUUUGACUUUUUGACCUCAAAUCAGGCAGGACUACCCGCUGAACUUAA
rnacentral:rRNA from 1 species